UACGUAGGGUGCGAGCGUUGUCCGGAAUUAUUGGGCGUAAAGAGCUCGUAGGCGGUGUGUCACGUCGGCCGUGAAAACCUGCAGCUUAACUGUGGGCGUGCGGUCGAUACGGGCAUCACUGGAGUUCGGCAGGGGAGACUGGAAUUCCCGGUGUAGCGGUGAAAUGCGCAGAUAUCAGGAAGAACACCCGUGGCUAAGGCGGCUCUCUAGUACGGUACUGACGCUGAGACGCGAAAGCGUGGGGAGCGAACAGG
rnacentral:rRNA from 1 species